rnacentral:lncRNA from 10 species
AAGCUCCGGCACCAGCUCCUCCCGGCCGGCGGCCCGCACCUGAGCCGGAGCCGGAGCCGGGCACGGCGGGUAGCGGUGGGGCGGGGUGGACCAGGCGCCAGGACCAGGCCCGCCGGGGCGGGAGGCCUCCGCGCGCACCUUCGGGGCUGAGGAUAGAGGGCGCAAAGACGUGGGCGCUUCAGGGCCUUGGCGAGGCCGCUAGCCCAGUGGCUUCCAAACCUGGAGGGUCGGCCUAUUUUCUUUAUUCUACAAGUGCCUCCACUGUGCAGCAAAGUGUGGAAACCACUUGGCUUGAGAGAGCUGGGUCCUCUGGAGCAGUUCAGGGUCACCACAGAAGUAGGCCGUCUCUUGGGCCUAUUCGCCCCAGCUUCGAGGUGGUGGUGCUUUAUUAGUGUUAUUAAGGCUAGAGUGCAGUGGUGCGAUCUCGGCUCACUACAACUCCUACCUCCUGAGUUCAAGCGAUUCUCCUGCCUCAGCCUCCCGAGUAGCCAGGACUACAGUGUCGAGGUCAUGAAAGCCACUGAAAGACUGAGAACUGUUCCAGAAAGGAGACUAGAGAGACAUGGCAGCCAAAUGCUCCACAUAAUCCUGUCCUGGAUUCUUCUCCUACAAAGGAAGGGGUCUGAGGAUUAGGUGGUAGUACUGAAUCAAGGAACUAUCAUCUCCUAUUGUGCUGUAGGCAAACUUGAGUGACAUGGUGGAAGCCACCAGAGAGAAUAUCUGAAGCAAUUCAUUAAAAUCUUGGCAGCCAGACCCCAGCUCCCACUUUCCCUGAAAGCUCCCUUUAAUGAAGCUGAACGCUGUCCCAGCAAUUCCCUCCACAGAAGACCUACUGUCACCACCUCUGGAGGGGCAAUUCCUGGAGGAACCAAGUCAGCCAAUCGAAGGUCCUGAAUAAGCAAAAACUAAGUAAAUAAAUUACCAUCUCGAA